UGCCAGCAGCCGCGGUAAUACGGAGGGGGUUAGCGUUGUUCGGAAUUACUGGGCGUAAAGCGCGCGUAGGCGGAUCAGAAAGUUGGGGGUGAAAUCCCGGGGCUCAACCCCGGAACUGCCUCCAAAACUCCUGGUCUUGAGUUCGAGAGAGGUGAGUGGAAUUCCGAGUGUAGAGGUGAAAUUCGUAGAUAUUAGGAAGAACACCAGUGGCGAAGGCGACCACCUGGCCCAAUACUGACGCUGAGGUGCGAAAGCGUGGGGAGCAAACAGGAUUAGAUA
rnacentral:rRNA from 1 species